AUACGGAGGGGGCUAGCGUUGUUCGGAAUUACUGGGCGUAAAGCGCACGUAGGCGGACUGGUCAGUUGGGGGUGAAAUCCCAGGGCUCAACCCUGGAACUGCCCUUAAUACUGGCGGUCUAGAGAUCGAGAGAGGUGAGUGGAAUUUCCAGUGUAGAGGUGAAAUUCGUAGAUAUUGGAAAGAACACCAGUGGCGAAGGCGGCUCACUGGCUCGAUACUGACGCUGAGGUACGAAAGCGUGGGGAGCAAACAGGAUUAGAAACCCCGGUAGUCC
rnacentral:rRNA from 1 species